GACGAACGCUGGCGGCGUGCUUAAUACAUGCAAGUCGAACGGACAGGUCCUGAUUUUGCGGGGUGCUCGAGUGGCGAACGGGGGAGUAACACGUGAGUAACCUGUCCUUGACUUUGUGAUAUCUCCAGGAGAAUGGGGCUAAUACAGGAUAGGAGAUACUGCUCCAUGGUGGGGAUUGGAAAGUUUCGGUGGUUGGGGAUGGAAUCGCGGCUUAUCAGCUUGUUGGUGUGGUAGUGGCUUACAAAGGUUUCGAAGGGUACCCGGCCUGGGAGGCUGAACAGCCACAUUGGGACUAAGAGACGGACCAGACGGGUAUGGGACGCAGCAGGCGAGAAUAUUGCGGAAUGGGCGGAAGCCUGAUGCAGCAACGCCGCGAGCGUAAUGACGGCCUUCGGGUUGUAAACCGCUUUCGCCUGUGACAAAGCGUGAGUGACGGUAAUGGGUAAAGAAGCACCGGCUAACUACGUG
rnacentral:rRNA from 1 species